UCUUUUAUUUCUUUCCCAAAACCCUCGCGACUCGACUCUCUGCCUUCCUCUCACCUCGACUCGCAGCUUGACUCUCUGCCUCCUCUUUGCCGCCUCGACUUUCCAUCGCCUCCUCCUCACAGCCUCUUCCUCGCCGCCUCGACUUUCCACCAUCUUCGCCGCCUCAUUCUCACUGCCUCUUUAUUUCUUUUUUGAUUGCUUCAUAGAGAGUCUUCCUGCGGUGAAGACGACGGCUUUUACAAAUUUUUUUCUAUGAUAAUCAUCUUAUCGUUUUAAAGGUUCGGGCUUUUUGUGACCUUGCGAGUUCUUAAAGUUGAGCAAAGAGGAGUUGUGUUUUUUUAAUCUCCUUCUAUUCGAGAGGAAUUUUUUCCUCGGGGAGGGAUGUGGUGACUUCCAACAAGGCGAGAUGUAGAUCUGGAUCGAGGUGAACUAGGCCGAAUUGGGAGAAGAAAUUUAAAAAAAAAAAGAAGCGAAUAAGGGAUCAUUGAAUUCCCCAUGGUCGAGAUCCUUGUUAGGGUUUUAUUUUCUGAUAUGGUUUUGAAAUCUAUGGACAACUUCUCCAAAACAAGUUUUGUGUGUGUGUGUGUAUUUUGUUUUGGUUGUUGUUCCCUUGAAAUAGAAAAAUAGUGUUUUUUAUAAUUAAAUGUACAACGUAAUAUUUAUCCCAAUCUAAUUUUAGAUGAUUUGAUUAUGAAUUUGAAAUGAGGCGGAAAGAUGUUUGAUCAUUUUGCUAUUUUUUCAAGAUAGAGAACUCAAUUAAUGAUUGGGAAGAUCAAUCUCAAUUUCUAAAUCUGGAAAACCUGGGAGUUCGUCAAACUGGCAUCUAUGAGAAUCCUUCACUGGUCUACACCGGCUAUGGUUACAGUCCUCAGAUGCCAUAUGACCCAUAUUCACGUGUCACAACACCUCUACCUUUGAUUAAUGGAGAUGAUAUCUUUACUCCACUUAGCAAUUCCAGUUCCCAGAGAUUGAUGUUUCACCACAAUCUAUUGGUGGUCACUCUUUUGGGCAAAGCACAGUUCCUUUUGGAAUGGGAGUGAAGAGUUACUCUGUGAAGUUGAUGAGGACUACAUAUUAAGGACUGAAUUUAUUAUGAAACUGAUGAUCAACAAUGUUGGAAAAGGUUGACAUGAAAGAAUCAGUAAGUGAGAAAGAGGAGUUCAAUGAAAUCCUACAAGUUGAAGAUUGUGAUGGGACUUGGGUUGACAAUAAAGUGCAAUUCUACCAGGCAACAACCAUCACAAGUUUUUAGUCUUUUAGCUAUUGUUCAUUAGUUGUAAAUGGAGUUUAUUUAUUUAUUUGUAUUGGGAUAAAUUUUAUUUGAAUAUGACACAUGUUUAUUCUUUUGUGAUUGUAA